AAUGAACGUUGGCGGCAUGGAUUAGGCAUGCAAGUCGUGCGACAAGCCUUUUAUAGCUUGCUAUUGAAGGUGGAGGAGCGGCGAAAGGGAGAGUAACGGGUGGAUUAUCUACCCUCAGGUCCGGAAUAGCUGCGGGAAACUGCAAGUAAUGCCGGAUAACAUCUACGGAUCAAAGGUGUGAUUCCGCCUGAGGAUGAGUCCGCCUCCUAUUAGCUUGUUGGUGGGGUAAAGGCCUACCAAGGCAACGAUGGGUACCGGGUGUGAGAGCAUGGCCCGGCUCACUGGGACUGAGACACUGCCCAGACACCUACGGGUGGCUGCAGUCGAGAAUCUUCGGCAAUGGGCGCAAGCCUGACCGAGCGAUGCCGCGUGCGGGAUGAAGGCCUUCGGGUUGUAAACCGCUGUCAGUAGGGAGGAAAUGCUAUGGGGUACUCUCCAUAGUUUGACCUAUCUUCAGAGGAAGGACGGGCUAAG
rnacentral:rRNA from 1 species